AGCCGUAGAGGUUAGUAAGGACAAGGUCACAGGAAAUUGAAAUUUGAAUACAGUUCAUUAAACUCAUUUAGUACGUGUCAGACACAGUGAAGUGUUAUCGAGCGAAUUGCUAUAACGGAAUUGGAAGUCUGCCUAUCCCUUAACAUAAAGAAUGCAGGGAAGUCUGUUCCCACCAGCGAAUGUCAGGGAUUAAAGGAAUUCUAUUCCCAGCAUAAAAUAUUUGUGGACAAAUAUUUACAGGAUGAAUGUUAUGUAGAUACGUAUAGGAUCCAGCCGAGAAUGGCGACUACCAGGAAGCUGUAACCUUGUCAGCCUGACACUGAAGAAAUGCUUGAAGUAGCAUUGUAUGCCCAGUGGACAAGCUACAGGUCAAGAAUAUGUUAUGGGAAAAUGCAAGACAACUUUUAAAGAUGAUUGCCAUGCAGACAGCUCUAAAGGACAACUGAAUUUCAGAGGGGAGUAUGUUAGCAUAAUAGCACACCUGGUGAGAUAUGACUGGGAAAAUGUUCUUAUUGAAGUGUACCUAUAUUGUGUACUUAAAUCUAUACUUUGGCUAUCAAGUUUUAAGUCUUAAAAAGAUUAUAUUAAUUUGAAGUUAGUCAACCACGAACAGAAUAGCCAUGUAGGAAUGCCCACCUCCUAGGCUAGCUGGGGUAGUAUAAGGUUUACAGGCGAGACUAUUAUUAAAUGACCAGCAGGAGGGCAGGUAACUUGAGGUUAGAAGCGCCUAAAAUUGUAUGUAGCUUUCUUCCAGUUUGGUAUUUAGGAAUGGGAAGUAUACAAGCCAAUUACUAAUCGGACAAUUCUUGCCAUUCAGAUACUAAUUUACUCUAGGGUUAACGUAUCUGGCUUGAAAAUUUCAUUGGGCAAUACUAAUUUUACUGGGGUGGUGUAAAAUUUGAUUAAGCUUUUGCUAUUCAAUCCAACUGUAAUGGAGCAUUAUUGAGUGUAUAGAGGGGUUGAUAGCUCUUAAGUUUUUAAUUUGCAUUGUAGGCAGUGUUUUCAAGCAGCUACUGUUGGUGAGAUUGAGUGGCAAUAAGUUAAUGUUAUCGAGAUUGCGUGAGAAUUUCAUAAGUUGUCGUUGAUAAAUUGCUACAAUUCACA